GAUGAACGCUGGCGGCGUGCUUAACACAUGCAAGUCGAACGGAAAGGCCCAAGCUUGCUUGGGUACUCGAGUGGCGAACGGGUGGGUAACACGUGGGUGAUCUGCCCUGCACUUCGGGAUAAGCCUGGGAAACUGGGUCUAAUACCGGAUAGGACCACAUUUUGGAUGGUGUGGUGGAAAGUUUUUCGGUGUGGGAUGAGCUCGCGGCCUAUCAGCUUGUUGGUGGGGUAAUGGCCUACCAAGGCGUCGACGGGUAGCCGGCCUGAGAGGGUGUACGGCCACAUUGGGACUGAGAUACGGCCCAGACUCCUACGGGAGGCAGCGGUGGGGAAUAUUGCACAAUGGGCGCAAGCCUGAUGCAGCGACGCCGCGUGGGGGAUGACGGCCUUCGGGUUGUAAACUCCUUUCGCUAGGGACGAAGCGUUAUGUGACGGUACCUGGAGAAGAAGCACCGGCUAACUACGUG
rnacentral:rRNA from 1 species